CUGAUAGAACCAGUCCAGAAGAUCUGUCUUGCUAUCUUUAUGGCUCAUUUUUCACACAGGAGAACUUGUACUGCAUCUCUGUAUAUGAUAGAUCCUUAGUAAACACCCUACCUGCCACUAAUUUUCAAGUAUUCACCCCCCACCCCUUCCCACCUUAGUUGAUUCCACAAAGUGUAACAUUUUGUAGUUGUAGUCCUGCAGAACCAAUGCAGGACAGUGCUCAUUGGCUGAGAACCUCCAGGUGACGCUCUCAGCCUAUAACUGUGGGCUAAAGAGACACCCAGGUAAGUUGUCAAAUUGUUCUAAAUAGCUCCAGCAAGCUGUAGUGGUUAUGAUGAUUGGAGUGUUCCUUUAAAUUGCACUUUAUUUUGGAUUUUUCUGUUUUAUUUACACACUUUGUAAUUUCACAAAAUGUUAUUGUGACACAAGGGUUAAUGUAAAAAAAUCUUGCUUACAGAAAUUUCAAAUUGUAAACGCUCUAUACAUAUUUGUUGUGGAUAAAUCUGACAGUUUUAAAUGUUAUGUAUUGACUAGAAUAUACAGAACUGUAAAUGGGUAGUGCUACAUCUGUAAACAGAUGUUAAUGGGCGCAGUGAAACGUGCUGGUAAUUGGGCACGAUGUGUUAAUGAUUUGUUCAUUCCUAGGCUUCGUGAAGUUUUGACCUGAAAUGACUUACAUUACUGCCUUGAUUCUGUUUUAUUCUUAGGAACUAACCAAGAAGGGUUUUGGAGAAAUUACUACGGAAAUCCGAGAAGAAACAAACUUUUACUACGCCGAAGAUUAUCAUCAGCAGUACCUCAGCAAGAAGCCCAACGGUUACUGUGGUUUGGGUGGCACUGGUGUCUCCUGCCCUAUCGGAAUUGAAUAGCUCCUACCUAUACACAUGAAUUAGUGUCAGGUUGAAAGACCACUAGGAUCUGCAAUCCCUUACGGAAAACCCUGAUUUACCACAAAUUCUAAAUGUUUUAUAUUAAUGUAAUUGUUACAGAAAAAAUAUCUUAAUGCUUGCGAGAGGUCCUUUAUAUUCUUUUAUGUGUCAGACCUCAUUUUAGGGUGAUUUGAGUAAAAUGCUAUUAUAUUAUUGUGGCAAUAUUUUGAUUCCUUUUCCCCUUGUUUAUAAGGGAACUACUGUUGUUAAUUAAGUUGAAAUUUUGAAAUAGUAAAAUAAUAUUUUAAACGAAAAGCAUCAUGCUGUGCCCUUAAACAAUGAAUUAAAUAAUCUGCUUGAUUUUAAGCAAAAUGUUAAAAAUUC